GCUGGUGUUUUGGCGUGGUGGCAACACUUCUUCCCAUUCCGAACAGAGCCGUUAAGCACCAUAGCGUUGAUGAUACUUGGACCGCAAGGUCCUGGGAAAGUAAAUCGACGCCAGCA
rnacentral:rRNA from 1 species